GCCAGGGGGCGCCGUAGCCCCGGCAUCGGCCGGCCGUUACGUUUCCGGGCACCGAGGGCCGAAAGCCGCCAUCUCCGGGCGGCCGGCGCGCGCGCCGCCACUGUGGGCCGCUCCGGUCCGUUACCGGGGCAACGGCGGCGCUCCCUCCUUGUGGGCCGCGACCGUCUCUCUCCGCGCCAUUUUCAAACCGCGCUCGUGCCGGAGCCAUUGGCCGCAGCAGGACGAGCCAGCGGGGACAGCGGGUCCGGAGGGCGAUGUACCUCGGGACGGAGCGGCGGCCUUUAAGUUGGGAGUGUGACUAAAACUGGUUUUGGAAGCAAGAUGACUACAGCUGCAGAGAGAAAGUAUAUUAACAUUCGGAAGAGGUUAGACCAGCUGGGCUACCGCCAGACCCUGUCAGUGGACAGUCUGCCUUUGGUAGAAAAACUUUUCAGUGACCUCGUUCAUACGACAGAAAGCCUGCGGCAGUGCAGGUUGUCCUCGGGAAAGGCGGAAAAGGAAAGUGCCAAUCUCGAUUUUGUUUUGGAACCUUAUAAACUUGAAAAUACAAGACUGAAUAAGGAGAAUAAUGAAUUGUAUCUGGAGUUAAUGAAGCUCAGAGAAUGCUCAGACAAGCACAUUAAAGACUUGAAGACGACACUGAAGAAAUGUUCCCGUGAGACAGCUGAUCUGAAGUUUCUGAACAACCAGUAUGUUCACAAGGUCAAAGUCCUGGAGAAAGAGAGCAAAGCCAAGGAUGAAAAGAUCCAGCAGCUUCAAGAGAAGAACCUGCGUGCUGUGGUGCAGACCCCUGGUGGCAGGAAAAGAAACAUUGCAUUUAGGCGCCAGCGGAUGCAAAUCGAUGAACCAGCCCCACCCUCAGAAGUCAGCGCAUACCCGGUUCCUCAACCAGAAGACCCAUACAUUGCGGACCUCCUGCAAGUGGCUGACAACAGGAUUCAGGAGCUGCAGGAGGAGGUCCAGCAGCUGCAGGAGAAGCUAGCACAGAUGGAGAAAGGAGUGCUGGACUACAGCAAGCAGAUUGAACUGAGAGAACGAGAAAUACAGCGACUGUCACUUGCGUUGGAUGGCGGUUGUUCCCCUGAUGUCCUGUCUCUGGAGACCAGAAAUAAAACCAAUGAGAAACUCAUUGCUCACUUAAAUGUCCAGGUUGACUUCCUCCAGCAAGCUAAUAAAGAGCUGGAGAAGCAUAUUCAAGAGCUCAUGGAAACCAAGGAAACAGUGACAACUGAAGUUGUGAACCUCAGCAACAGAAACGAGAAGCUCUGCCAGGAGCUAACCGAGAUCGACCAGUUAGCCCAGCGGCUGGAAAGGCACAAGGAGCAAGUGCUGGAGACAGCAGACAAGGAGCUCGGGGAGGCAAAGAAAGAGAUUAAACGAAACCUCUGUGAAAUGCGGAACCUUGAGGAAAAAAUGUCAAAACUGCAGUGGGAAUUGGACUUAAGCCAUAAGGAGAAGGAGAGACUGAACAGUGAGCUGCUUUUAAAGUCAGACCUGGAGACUGUUGUUCAUCAGCUCGAACAAGAAAAGCAAAGACUUAGCAAAAAGCUGCAGAGUUUUGCAGUCACAGAAAGAGAACUGACUCUGGAGGUUGAGAGGAUGAGGCUAGAACAUGGGAUAAAGCGUCGGGACAAGUCACCCUCUCGUCUGGACACAUUUCUGAAAGGCAUAGAGGAAGAGCGCGAUUAUUACAAGAAAGAGCUGGAGAAACUGCAGCAUCUAAUCCAGCGGAGAUCUUGUGCGAUUAAUUACUCCGCUCGGGAAAAACCUCCUGUAGUCAAAUGCUCAGAAAAGGGUGACUGCAGCACGGACGUUCACCUGAUCACAAGAGAAAGGGAUGAACUUCAGCGCAUGCUGGAGAGAUUCGAGAAAUACAUGGAGGACAUACAGUCCAACGUGAAGCUGCUGACGGCGGAAAGGGACAAGCUGAAUGUCCUGUAUAAGGAAGCAAAGGAAGAGUUGUCUACACUAAGGAAGGAGUCCACUAAUUCGACAUCCCCCAACCAUCUUGUUAGUUGUGUAGAAAAGGAGAAAGAACGCGCGUUAUCUGAGUUGAGAAGAAUUACAGCAGAAAAGGAAGCUCUGAGAGAAAAGUUGAAAAACAUCCAAGAAAGGAAUGCUGUUGGAAAAUCAGACUUAGAGAAAACUAUUGAACAUUUGACAUAUAUUAAUCACCAGCUUGAAAAUGAAAAAUAUGAAUUGCAAUCUAAAAUGUUAAUGAUGAAAGAAACAGUGGAGUCAUUAGAGAACAAAUCAAAACUCCAAGCUCAAAAGCUUAGCCAUGUGACUGGUGACUCAUCUCAUCAGAAAACAGAGAUGACCUCCCUUAGGAUCGUCAGUGAGCAGCUACAGCGCUCACUUGAUGACUGUCAGCACCGACUUUCCAUAAAAAGAGGUGAACUUGAAUCAGCCCAAGAGCAAAUUAAAAUGCUGGAGCAAAAACUAGAGAAUCUCAGCCACAGGAUGACGGUGCAGAGCGAAGAGACUCACGCCAUGAAGAAGACCAUUGGAGUGAUGGACAAAGAAAAGGACUUUCUCCAGGAGACUGUGGAUGAGAAGACAGAAAAGAUCGCCAACCUGCAGGAAAGCCUCCUUAGUAAAGAAAAAGUCAUUGCCCAGUUGAAGGUCACAGUUGCAGAGUAUGAAACAUCACUUAACCAGCUACAAGAAACUUUGACUACUCGAGACCGAGAGAUAAACAGCCUCCGGCGCCAGCUUGAUGCAUCUCACAAGGAGCUUGAUGAUGUUGGGAAAUCUAGAGAGAUCUCUUUUAAGGAAAAUAGAAGGUUACAAGAUGACCUGGCCACAAUGGCGAGAGAAAAUCAGGAGAUCUCACUGGAGCUGGAAGCAGCAGUGCAAGAAAAAGAAGAGAUGAAGAGCAGAGUCCAUAAGUACAUCACUGAGGUGUCGCGGUGGGAGAGCCUGAUGGCCGCCAAGGAAAAAGAAAACAAAGACUUGCUGGAUAGAUUCCAGAUGCUCCACAGCCGUGCUGAGGACUGGGAGGUCAAGGCUCAGCAAGCGGAAGGGGAGAACAGCUCAGUCCGCCUGGAGCUGCUGUCUAUCGACACAGAGAGAAGGCAUCUGCGGGAACGAGUGGACCUCCUGGAGAAGGAGAUCCAGGAGCACAUCAAUGCACAUCACGCAUACGAGUCUCAGAUCUCGUCAAUGGCUAAGGCCAUGUCUCAGUUAGAAGAGGAGCUGCGACGUCAUGAGAGCGAGAAAGCCACCAUGUUAGGUGACGUGUCGUCUCUCCGAGAACUGUGCAUCAAGCUCGACUCAGGCAAAGACGUCAUGACCCAGCAGCUGAAUUCCAAAAGCCUAGAGCUGGAGCGGGCGGUAGCAGAAUUAGAGAAUGUAAAAUCAGAAUCAGAACUAUUAAAAAAACAGCUGACGAAUGAGAGACAGACAAUUAAAAACCUUGAGUCGUUGUUAGCUACAAACAGAGAUAAAGAGUUCCAGUCCCAUUUAACCUCCCACGAGAAGGACACAGAAAUCCAGCUGCUGAAGGAGAAGCUAAAUCUCUCAGAAAGCAAACUGUGAGUGUCGCUGAGCAGUGUGUGGGGAAGUGUCUUUGACAAAGUAGUUUCAACUUUCCAGGUAGCGAGGGCAUUGGAAACCCACGGUCCCUGACUCUCCUAACUGCUGCGUCUGGACAUCCAGAGGAGUCACUCAGGAGACAUGGGGUUUGAAGCCGUAGACGUACACAUCUUCAUCCCCAAGGCAGGGCGUGGGAUCGAGCCGGGAAGAGUGAGCUUCAGGGGAGGACCUGAGUCUGAGGAGACUACCCAAAGCCGAGAAACCUCCAUGCUUCGAACUAAAGUGACACAGUUGCAGACAGAUUAUGAUAAUCUGAAGAGGCAGAUGUCAAACGAGAAGUACGAACGAGAGCGAGCAAUCCAAGAGAUGCGCCGACUUGGUCUUCCUACAUCACCUCUGAGCUCUACUCUGAAAUCUCCUGUACAGACUCCUGAUCAUAUAAAUGCAUAGUUACCAGGAAGAUUAUGGUUUUCAGUGAGUUUCUGCGUGGAUUUUUUAAGAACACAGAGUAAUGAGAUAUUUGAAGUUCUUGUUCCUGCAAAUCAUGAACACUGACACAAAUUCUACCUCUGUCAACCUUUAUUUAAAUCAGUGGAUAUUUAUGUAAAAAUGUUUAGUUUUAAAAGAGCCUUAUAUGUAUAUUUUCAUAUGUGAAAAAACAAAAUAUGUAUUAAUAGCUUAACUGAUGUGAUAUGUGAAUUUUUAUUAUUCCCAACUAAAAUUACUCCUUACAAUGUGUUUAUACUGUGAAUUGCUUUAACAUGCUCACAUUAUGCUUUAAUAAUCUGUGCCUUAGUGAACCAUAAUAUAUGCAUGGAAGGAUUCUUGCACUAUUUAGGUUUCGUGCCUGUGUUUAUAGCCCAUAGCAUGAUGAAUUCAGAAAAUGAUCCAUUUGAUGCUGUUCCGUAAGUGUGACAUCAGUCCACGUGUGCUGUCUAUCACACAGGGGAGUCUAUCUAAAUCUAGUCUAAUAGAACUCUUUUUAUUUUAAAAGUAAAGAAAGAGUUUAUGUGAGCUUCUGUUUCCAGAGAGUUAGGACUCCCUCAGGGAAGCCGAGCGGCUGACAGCGAGCUCACCACACAGAGCCUAGAGUGGCCAGGAAGUAGGGGAAGCUGUGUACUCCGAAAGCCCUCCCCCCAGGGACGCACUUGCUCCAGUAAAUCUGCACCUCUUAGACCUCCUCAAACAGCACCCCCACACACCUGGGGCCAAGUGUUCAAGUCUCUGGGUCUGUCUGUGGGAUACAUUUCUCAUUCAGACUACAUUUUCUAAAACCAAAAAUUCAACUGAUACCAAUUUUCCCCCCUGAGGUGUUUUUUGCUAUUUCUGAAAGUUCAGACCUACUGGAGGUCAAUAAACUCAGCUAUCUGUUUGCAAAUUACUUACAUUUUCAUCAACUUUGAAAAACAUUUUCCUGGCUAUAGAGGAAAUAAAUGUGCCUAGUGAUCUCAUCUGGAUAAAAUAGUUAUCGCCGUGUGUGAUAGUGCAAGCAGGAAGGGCGGCAGUGGGAGACACUUUUAUCUAUGUGGGCCUUAUUUGGGCUGUCCUAUGCGCUCUCCACAUGACACAUUUUUUUUAAGAAUUAAGUUAAAAUAAUUCAGAGUUUUGUAAAAUAAUCAAAUGAAAAUUUUUUUUACUAACUAAAUUCUUCAGUGUACUAGUCUAAAAUUUCAGAAUAUGAAAGUAUAUAAAGUAAAUAUAGAAAAGUGUUUUGUUAAAAGUCCAAUAUGCAUCUGAUAAUACCUAUUUGUGGCUCCAAAUCCUAUCUAAUAUCCCCAGUCUUUCCGAAUAGUAUGUCAACACCAUCCCUGUGCCGUAUAAAUUGAAAACACCUUUUUAUAACUUCCCUUUCAAGGUUGUGUAACUCUGAAGAAUUGAGGUGUAUGCUCAGCCUUAGAAAAGAGUAGACAUACAAAAUAAAAUGUCGACACCAAUACUAAUCAUGUACCAACUGUUCGCGUUUGAAGAAACCCCUCUUUUAUAACUAGAUUUCAUUAUGGUUGAGAAAGAACUUAAAAGUCAGCGCAGGCCAGCGAGUCAGCUGGGAGCAACCCGCUUUGUUUCCUCUUGGCUUAAAGCAAGUUGCUCUCUGUGAACGUCCCUGAGGGUGGGUAGACAUCCAGGUAACUAGUGUGCCUUAUGUGGUCAGGAUGUUCCCUUUGCAAUAAUUUGCUGCAUAGUUGAGUACAGGGCGACUUACUCUCCCACUAUGUGUAUAAUUUAUUCAUUCUAUCUCCUUUGAGUAAAUUCAUGUUUUAUAGCAAAAUAUGAAUAAAAAGGACCAUUUACAAUGUCA